AGCCCAUGAUGGGAGGACAUCUUUAGCAACUCUUUCAAUCUUUGCCAAGCUUUAUACAUUGAUUCAUCCUUCCUUUGCAUAAAAUCAGUGAUCUGGUUCUUGAGUU